GCUCCUACGGGAGGCAGCAGUAGGGAAUCUUCGGCAAUGGACGAAAGUCUGACCGAGCAACGCCGCGUGAGUGAAGAAGGUUUUCGGAUCGUAAAACUCUGUUGGUAGUGAAGAAAGAUAGAGGUAGUAACUGGCCUUUAUUUGACGGUAAUUACUUAGAAAGUCACGGCUAACUACGUGCCAGCAGCCGCGGUAAUACGUAGGUGGCAAGCGUUGUCCGGAUUUAUUGGGCGUAAAGCGAGUGCAGGCGGUUCAAUAAGUCUGAUGUUAAAGCCUU
rnacentral:rRNA from 1 species